rnacentral:lncRNA from 1 species
AUCUAGUCUAGGUCAUGCUUGCCUAGGAAGGUUGAAGCAGAUGAUCCUUGAGGUCCCUUUCAACCUGGUAUUCUAUGAUUCUAUGAUUCAUUUUGUCAGGUUUUGAGAUUACAAAGACACAGAUAACAUAUCCAAAGAGAUGCCAGUACCUUUCUUUGUAAGCUUUGAGGGAAAAAAUAAAUAAAAUAAAAAUCCAAGCCAAAUCUUCACAUCCUGUAACUUCUGGGUUUUAGCAUUCAACUUCUGCUGUUACUUCAGAUUCUUCCUCAGCCUACAUUGGAGAGAUCAAAGACAGAUGAGACUUUCAUGUCAGGACCACAGCAAAGCCCCUACUGCUCACAUCUUCCUUAAUGCUUCCCAGGACUACACAACAUGUCUACAACAUUUCUAAGCAGUGUUAUCAAAAGCUGCAGAGGAAAACCAUAAAAGGAUAUAGAGAUGCAGUAAAAGACGUUUUUUUCCCCCAGUGCCAAACCUGGGGCCAGACUAAUCUGACUUGACAUAAUCUAACCAUUGGGGUAUUACACAUUCCUUUAUUAAAAAAUUGAUUGACUUUUUCCACACAUAAAAAUGCUGAUAGUUAACACAUAAAUUUGUAUCACAGAAUGACAAUUUUCAAGUUCCAUAAGAAACAAAAUCUUAGUAAUAAUCAAAGCAGUUUCUCAUAUAAAUGAAAUCAGAUAAGCCUCAGUCUUUUAUUCCAAAACAUUUUUCUACAAAGUAUGUGUAACUGAUUAUACCCAACUUUCUUGGGCAUGUAAUUAGUGAUUACUAUGACAGUCUAAUAUAUUAACUCUCCAAGAAAGGAAGAGCUUAUUGCUCCAAAUCUCAUUUUGAAUGAAAGUAUUAGUCUAUUACAUGGAUCAUUUCACAGCUGGCUCAGAUUUAUCUGGAGUUUGAUGCAGCAAUUAAUUCUGGCAACAGAAAGAUGUAGUCAGUCAUUUCUAUAAUCUCUGGUUACAGUGUUAUUUGAUUGAAGAGGUAAGGUUCAAAUACAUCUUUUUUUAGCAGUGAACUCCUAGAAUCCUUCAAGGCCAUAAAACCUCAGUGGUUUGGGCUUUUUUUCAUAGCAAAGUCAAAUGUAUUGUUUAGAGUCACAAUAUAUAACAUUUAUGAUUUAGUGCCUGUAAAUAAGCAGGAUCACAUAUUACUUGAUUCCUCUCAGAGCUGUCAGGAUAGCUACUUUGCACAAUACAUCAAGAUAAAAAAUCAUGAGAAAAACCAAAGAAGAACCUUUCAGAUCCCCUUGUCUUUAUCAGUUACACUCUGAAUUACGGUUACAUACUUUCCCAUACUAAUCCUGUCUGAAUCCUCAUCCC